rnacentral:lncRNA from 1 species
GAUUUUUUGCUCAUUUAAGAAAUUGACCUCUUUGUCUUUUGCUUACUGAGUUAUACAAGUUCUUUAUUUAUUCUGGAUAUAGGCUCUUUUCCAGUUUUAUUCUCCUGCCGCCACCGCUGCUGCUCCUGUCACUACCACUACAGCUCUUCCCAUAGGACAAUAAUGACAUUAGCGAGGGUUUCCUGCGUCACUGGCACGGUGCCCGAUGCUUUCCACGGAUUACCUCGUAUACUCGUCAUACCCACCAUUUGAGUGAAGUGCUUGGAUUCCCAUUUGACAGAUGAGGAAACUAAGGGACCGAGAGGGGAGGAAUGCCCACCUGCCUUGUGUGACCAAGGGAGGAGACAGAUGCAGCAGCUGGCAGUGGAGUUGCCCGGCCAUGUGCCAGCCUCACACCUGUCCUGGGCCACCUCCUGGGACCUCCUCUGUCAUCCUGGCUCCGUCCAGGUCCAGCUGUUGCAAUACUGACAGUAGGAGUGGGUGAGCCAUCAGAGGGGCUGACACGGCUGGGCCUGGUGUCGCUCUUUCCAGGGAGAUCCUGAGCAUGGCCUGGGCCCUCUGAGGGGUGGUGGGCAAUGGGGGUCCUCGGGGCAGCAGCCUGUUGCUGCCGGGCAUGAAGCUACCUCAUGGUGCACAAGUGACGUGCAGCCCCUGUACCCUGCCCAUGUGGACUCUCAGAGCCACCUCUUGGAUCACUCUCCAUGACCCACCCCACCCUGUCCGCAAACUGGCGCCCGACAUACCGCUGGAGGACAGGACGCCCAUCACGUAGAGGAGGCUUCUGUGUGGGAAGACGCCCGUCAGGAGCUCCGUCUCCAGAUGCUGCGCCACCACCCGCCACGAGUGCCUGCAGAUGGCCACCAGCAUGUUGCUGGCCGCGUCCUGGUAUAUGUCUUCCAGCUCCUGGGGUGGGGUGGGAGCAGGCAGGGCGGGAGGUAGAGUAAGAGCGGCUUGUUACGAGACCUCGCGUCUUCACAUGCCAGGGCUGGUUUGAGGGCCAGGACAGCGGCCACGGCCCAUGUUUCUUUUGGUAGAAAACUGAGGCUGAGGGAGCCUGAGGCCUUCCUGGUCUGCGUCCAUUGCCGGAACACCUCCUCCUCUUCCUCCCUACCUCUGAGCCCUUGCUCACGCUGUGUGCCUGCCUUCACCUCCACUCCCACUUAGAGCCUGCUCCAAGGCCUGGGUUCAGGGCACUCAUCCUGAAACCUCCAGCCCACAUCACCUCUCCUCCUGAGCUCCUGGCGGCUCAGGACAAUGUCACAUCUUUCACCAUGAAUUCAGAAGCAGAGGCUAUAUUCCUGUCCAAGAGAGCCAGGGCGUCAGCUGCUCAAGGGCAGAGCCCCGCUGACUGGGUCCCUGGCCUCCCUGACCCUGGCCAAGCCCCCACUGUCCAGUGGAGGGGCAUCUUCAGCAGGAAGGAACCACAUGGGUCCCGGAGCCUGGCUCUGUGUGGUCACACCUGGGACCUUUCUUAACAAGCGUGUGGGUAUCCCUUUAGAUCUUGCUGCAAUUUUGAUUUCUACUCUUUUCUCAGUCUUCAUGGGAGCCAUAAGGCAGCUUCUGUGGCUCUGAGGCAGGUGAACAGGAGGCCUGUCUGCACUUGGGGGCGUCUGAAAGUGGGGGUGUCUGAGCCGUGCCAUGCAGCUUGAAUCAUCGCAUGAAAUAGAUAUAUCAUUUAUAACUUAUGGAAAGUAUGGUUAUGGGGGCUUCUUGUGAAGAUGGUGAUUGAAUCUGAUUUUGCUCUUUCAAAAAACCUACCUCAGCUGACACUACAUUUAGGAGAUUUUUUAAAAAGGACAAUAGCAACCGCACUGUGGAAGUGGGAAGCAGGUAGGCGAGGGGCCUGAAGACCACGUGUAGGCUAGCGGAGCAGAGGCCGAGCGGCCAGCUCACCCACACGGCACUGUCCCCCAGUAUUUGAAGUUGGGGGGGUCUCUUGUCUCCCAGCCUCUAGAACUGGAGGGGCAGUGGAGGGGCUGAAACUAAAGGUGACGUGGUUUUAGAAGUAGUUGAGUCCGUAGAUGUACCUCCCACACUCUGCACACGUGAAGGGAGCUGGCCCUCUCCCACCCCAGCAAGACUCUGGGGGCUCAGUCUCUGGAGGGGGCAGAUGAGUGUCUCUACCCAGGGGUUGCCAGGCCCGUAAACUCCGGGAAUACUCACUUCCCAGGCCAGUCCUGGCAUGACUGCCAUGGGAUGGGACCCUGACCUUUAUGCAGGGCCCCUGGGUGAGCGUCUCCCUGGGACUCCUCAGAGCGUAGAAGGGAAGAUGGAGAGAUGCUGACGUAGCUGGGUGAGGGUGGCAGCAGUGGGCUCACCUGGUCACUCUACGGUGGAACCAAGGGUUCAGGUAGCCAGAUGGAAGGGAUACGUGACCACAAAGCGCGGUGGCUAAUGCUGCCCCCAGAGUGACUUCCACUCCUGCGGAAUGGGCAGGACAAAGACUCCACAAGCCCGAGCUCCCCAGCAGACAUCAGGUCGCGUGUGAAGGAUUACGGUUCAGGAUGGCUCUGGAUCCUCAACAGCCACGAGGGCCAGAGGACAAUGGACAGCGGUUGCCAACCCACAGUCCAGUGUGAAAUCAAAUCCAGAGAUUUCUGGAAAUGCACAGGCUCAAAACCUUACUUCCCUUAAGCCCUACCCCAAGAAGCACCUCCAGGAAGCUGAAGUCUGUCUCCAGUUUAAGAAAGUAAAUCUGGAAAGGGGAGACUUAGGGUGUAGGAAACACAGUCCCCCACCGGAGCAGGGCAACAGGAGUGCAGGCCCAGGCCGGUCCUCACUGACUCCAAGCUCUAUGCUGGGCUGGAAGAUUGUCUGAACUCGGCUGGUCCUGACCUAGGUAACAGAGUGCCUGAUGCCCGUCUGUGUCCCAGGGGGUGGGUAGGACCCACAGAAGUGUCCGUCUGUGUCCCAGGAGGCGGGUAGGACCCACAGAAGUGUCCGUCUGUGUCCCAGGGGGCGGGUAGGACCCACAGAAGUGUCCCUCUGUGUCCCAGGCAGCGGGUAGGACCCACAGAAGUGUCCGUCUGUGUCCCAGGGGGCGGGUAGGACCCACAGAAGUGUCCGUCUGUGUCCCAGGGGGCGGGUAGGACCCACAGAAGUGUCCGUCUGUGUCCCAGGGGGCGGGUAGGACCCACAGAAGUGUCCGUCUGUGUCCCAGGGGGCGGGUAGGACCCACAGAAGUGUCCCUCUGUGUCCCAGGGGGCGGGUAGGACCCACAGAAGUGUCCGUCUGUGUCCCAGGGGGCGGGUAGGACCCACAGAAGUGUCCGUCUGUGUCCCAGGGGGCGGGUAGGACCCACAGAAGUGUCCGUCUGUGUCCCAGGGGGCGGGUAGGACCCACAGAAGUGUCCGUCUGUGUCCCAGGGGGCGGGUAGGACCCACAGAAGUGUCCGUCUGUGUCCCAGGGGGCGGGUAGGACCCACAGAAGUGUCCGUCUGUGUCCCAGGGGGCGGGUAGGACCCACAGAAGUGUCCGUCUGUGUCCCAGGGGGCGGGUAGGACCCACAGAAGUGUCCGUCUGUGUCCCAGGGGGCGGGUAGGACCCACAGAAGUGUCCGUCUGUGUCCCAGGGGGCGGGUAGGACCCACAGAAGUGUCCGUCUGUGUCCCAGGGGGCGGGUAGGACCCACAGAAGUGUCCGUCUGUGUCCCAGGGGGCGGGUAGGACCCACAGAAGUGUCCCUCUGUGUCCCAGGAGGCGGGUAGGACCCACAGAAGUGUCCGUCUGUGUCCCAGGGGGCGGGUAGGACCCACAGAAGUGUCCCUCUGUGUCCCAGGAGGUGGGUAGGACCCACAGAAGUGUCUGUCUGUGUCCCAGGGGGCGGGUAGGACCCACAGAAGUGUCGACUUACUCUGGGGGCUGGAGCGGGGCUGCAGUGUGUUCAGAAGCAGAAAAUGUAGACCAGUCCUGGCCUCAUUCAUGCCAGACUCCAUGCAGGGGCCCCUCCUCAUGAAGCCCCAGGAGGGUCUUGUCCACCCUCAGGGAGGCUGAAGCCAGACCACACCCCUGAGAGUGUCCCGAAGCCCUUGCCUCCCCGGGGAAACUGCUCCCCAACCCCAUCUCCCUAGGAUCAUCAAUCUGUAAACUGCAGAGACGCCUGAAAGACUUCGCAGUGGUGAGUGUGACAAACACAUGCAUAAGAUUCCAAAAGAAAAAGAAAUGAGGUGGAAAAAAGAAAUAGGUAGACAGGGCCCUUGCUUCCCAUUUUGCUGUCUCUCACACCCAGGGUGGCCUCAUUCACUUCUCUGGGGGAGCACAGGGGCAUGUCCCACCUGCCACCCACCAGCUGGGCUGUGAUUGCAGGCCAGUCCCUAAGGCUCUGGGCUCCAGCCUCCGCAUCCGUAAAUGGGGCCACAAACCCCUGUGUGGAGGAUGUGUUGACCAUGCUUGUAGGCCCUGUGCUGGCUGUUUGAUGUCUGUUAUUCCAAAUAACCUCUCCUUGAGUUUGUUGAAUCAUAGGGCCAGGUGAGCAGCUGGAGCUGCUUACAUCUUUUGGGGAGUAUGGAAGUCCCAUUACAAUGCCCUCAACCUGCCUGUGUCCCCGUAGCUCCUAGGAGAUGUCUCUACUUCAUUACUUCCCACCACCAUGGCCCUGAAGGCAUGUUCAGAUGGUCCCUCUGUCUGCUUUCUGACCCCCGCCUGGGACAGGCCUGUGUGGCCCCGUGGGGUGUGCUGUGCCUCUUGCUUUGGGGAGAGCUUUGAGUAUUAAAGACCUUUCAGUGGCCUUUGCCUCCUGCACAAUCAUGAAUUAAGACUCGGCACCACACGGAGGGUAAAUGGUGUCUACUCCUGCUUUGUGGGGCACCCUAGUGUGUGUGCGUAUUGAGGUGUCCCCUGGGGCUGCCCUGGCCUAGUCAGUCUAAGCCACCUGCUCCCAAGUCUCCACUCUUGGAGUGGAGAUUGUUGGCGGCUAGGGCUGGCUCUUGGACUGCAAGCUGCAGGUGGGGUGGGGUGGGGUGGGUGGGACAGUUCAGGUCCAGACCCCCAAGUCUCCAUCAAGCAGGAACCCAGAAGGUGGCCAAGGGCAAGGGCAGAGUUACAGCCUGCAGACUGGGUUAGACUCACAGCAGGCCUUCCAGAGGCUGGGCUGCAGGCAGCUGCCAUGCAGUGGUGAGGAAGGCGGUGCAGAGGGGAACCAUAGCCUGCUUCAGGGAGAGACCUCCUUUGGGGAGAGGGCCCCCCAACUUACGAGCCCCUUGGCUUUAGACAAGCAAUGCUCUCUUGAGCCUCACCUUCCUGGAAUGGGAACGUGAGAUGGAAAAGUAUGAUUGUCCCGCUGAAGGGGCUGGGGGUAAGAACGUGAGUCACUGGAUGGAAAUUGCUUGGUAACCCACAAGGCUGGGCAUGCCCAGCAUCACUUGGGUCCCUGGGGCAGCUGCUGGCAUUCCCAGAACCCGUGGGGGGUUGGCCCACUUGCUGUGGGAGGGGAGGCCCACCGUGGCCUUGGUCAUGUUCUCCAGAGCGAGCCGUG